ACUACAAACCGGGCUAUCGCGCCCCGGCUUAGCCGGGGUGAGGAAAGUCUGGACAGCAUAGGGCAAUGUACCGGUGAACAGCCGGGUCUUUCUCUAACUUGUUAGAGGAGGAACAGACAGUGCCACAGAAAAUUACAGCCUUCGACCGCCGAAUCCGCCAGCUGGCGGAAAAGGCGGUUUUCAUCCUGAGCAAUCGGGAGGGUGAUGGUGAAAACGUGGGGUAAGAGCCCACGGCCUGGGCAGGUGACUGCCGGGGCGGGUAAACCUUGCAUGCUGAAAUGCCAUGUAUACCAGCGUUGAAGAGCGGCUCGUUCGAACUCCCGGUAAAACGGGAUACGUUGGGUGGGUAGGCAGAACGAUCCAGUCAGUAAUGGCUGGGCAAGAUAAAUGAUAGCCUCCCGAUCUCGAUCGGGAUACAAAAUCCGGCUUACAGGUUUGUAGUUACU
rfam:Niastella yeongjuensis strain 17621 contig11, whole genome shotgun sequence.